rnacentral:rRNA from 1 species
AUAUUAUUACGCGGAGGAAAAGAAACUAACAAGGAUUCCCCUAGUAACGGCGAGUGAAGCGGGAAGAGCUCAAGUUUAAAAUCCAUAUGCUUCGCAUGUGGAGUUGUAGUCUCGAGACAGGCUGUCUGCGGUGACGUCGGUACAAGUGCCUUGGAAGAGGUCUUCAGAGAGGGUGACAAACCCGUUGCUGACCGACAGAUCGCCGCUUUCGACGUUUGUUCACAGAGUCGGAUUGCUUGGGAGUGCAGUCCUAAUUGGGUGGUAAAUUUCAUCUAAAGCUAAAUAUCGACGAGAGACCGAUAGCGCACAAGUA